rnacentral:rRNA from 1 species
UACGUAGGUGGCAAGCGUUGUUCGGAAUUAUUGGGCGUAAAGGGCGCGUAGGCGGUUUGUUAAGUCAGCUGUGAAAGCCCGGGGCUCAACCCCGGAGGGUCAGCUGAUACUGGCAGGCUAGAGUACAGAAGAGGUAACUGGAAUUCCCGGUGUAGCGGUGAAAUGCGUAAGAUAUCGGGAGGAACACCUGAGGCGAAGGCGGGUUGACUGGGCUGAUACUGACGCUGAUGCGCGAAAGCCAGGGGAGCAAACGGG